rnacentral:miRNA from 1 species
AAUCUUGAUGUGCGGGGAUAG